rnacentral:rRNA from 1 species
UGGCGCCCGAGUUGUAAUCUAGAGAAGUGUUUUCCGCACCGGACCGUGCACAAGUUCCCUGGAACGGGGCGUCAUAGAGGGUGAGAAUCCCGUAUAUGGCACGGACUACCGGCGCUCUGCGAUACACUCUCAACGAGUCGAGUUGUUUGGGAAUGCAGCUCAAAAUGGGUGGUAAAUUCCAUCUAAAGCUAAAUAUUGGCGAGAGACCGAUAGCGAACAAGUACCGUGAGGGAAAGAUGAAAAGCACUUUGGAAAGAGAGUGAAACAGUACGUGAAAUUGUUGAAAGGGAAGCGUUUGAAGUCAGUCGCGUCUGGCGGGAUUCAGCCUGGCUUCUGCCUGGUGUACUUCCCGUCUGACGGGUCAGCAUCGGUUUCGACCGAGAGAAAAAGGCUUGGGGAAUGUGGCCGUCCUCGGGCGGUGUUAUAGCCCCUUGUCGUAUGUCUCGGUUGGGACCGAGGACCGCAGCGCGCCUUACGGCCGGGGAUCGCUCCCUCGGUACGCGCUUAGGAUGCUGGCAUAAUGGCUUUAAGCGACCCGUCUUGAAACACGGACCAAGGAGUCUAACAUGUGCGCGAGUGUUUGGGUGUCAAACCCGAGCGCGUAAUGAAAGUGAACGGUCGGGAUCACGUACGUGUGCACCGACGCCC